rnacentral:rRNA from 1 species
CACCGCGGUUAUACGGGAGACCCAAGUAGAUCGGCUCACGGCGUAAAGCGUGGUUAAGAAGCCCACUGCAAAUAAAGCUAAACACCCUCUCGGCUGUUACAUGCAUUUGAGGUCACAGAAACUCAACUACGAAAGUGGCUUUACUACCUUUCCUAUCCACGAAAGCUUUGAUA